CUCUCCGUCUCUCUUUUCCUGUGUACCAGUGCGGGACCUUCUAGUAUUUUCUCUACUAACAAUAGAUCUUGAUUUUUUUAUUUUUUUGGUUGAUACCUUUAUCCUUUUUCCAUUUUGGUGAUCUCCGGUUUUGUAUGGCGGAUCUGUCAAGACUUACAAAAUGGCUUUGGAUGCCUUUUGAUCAUUCCGUGGGCUGAACGUUGGAGGCUACAGCGUUCCACUAUUAUCCCUUGAUCGCGAAUACUGAAGAGUUCAAAAGAAACAAGCUGGGGAGUAUACAACGGAGUAUAUUCAGUUCUUCACUAACAACAGAGAGAGAAAGAGAGAGAGACAGUUAAAGAGAUGCAAUGUCUUCCCAUUCAAAGUUGUCUGGCAUGCAAAAGCAGGUCUUGGGGCUAUACAGAAGCUUUCUUCGAGUGGCACGUUUGAAGACCCCAGAAGAGCGUUGCAGAAUCGAGUCAAAAAUCUCAGCUGAGUUCCGCCAGAAUGCAAAGGAUGUUGAUCGCAAGAAUUUCCUUUACAUUGAGUAUUUGCUGCGACGGGGAAAGAAGCAGCUCGAACAACUUAAGAGUCCUGAUACUGUUGGACUAUAUACCUUCAAACUUAUGUCAUCUGUGGCAACAAGUACCCAAUCUAAUGACCGGAUCUCUGAGCCUGUAUCUGAUGAACCCCAUGGUGACAAGCCAGGCAACAGCUCCCCAGCAAGUUAAUCUUGACAACCAAAUCAUCAGAGUUGGACUGGCAUUCAUAAAAAUGAAAGUGUUGUAGCCUGCAUCACCAGAAUGGGUUGUCAAGGAGCUUGCACGAAUAAAAGGAUGGUUGAUUGCAAUUUGCAUGGAGAGAUGCAGGCUAUAUAUUCUUCCAACAUUGCACAAGAAGAUCAACAACCUCAAAGUCCUCAAUGAACUGGGUUGUAUAACUGACCCAAGCUGGCGUGCUGCCUGUUGACAUGGUCACCUCCCAGUCAGCUAUGCUCCCCAAUCACUGCUGUUAUCACAUUACAUCUUUGUGGUUGGCUCAAGAUAAGAAGGUUGCCCCUGUUGAAGGAUUCAAAAGUUUUGGUGAUUGGUGUUUUGAAGUCCCGUUGGUUGUUGUGUGCAGUGUCUUCAUUGUCAAACAAACAACUAUUAAUGGACAAGAUUUUUGUAACCAAAAAAAAAAGGACAAGAUUUUGGAAAUUCUUUGACUCAGAUAAUGGAAACCAAGCUUGGGUAAAUGUGCAAUGUUCAUAUGCCACCAGCUUGAGGUUUGCGUAUGUUGAUGCACAGGGAAUUUUAUUGCCAAUUUGCCAGUAACGUGAGAACACCGAGCAGUCUGUAAAGCAAGUAUCAUCUCUUUGUUAGAAAUGCUGGUGCGACUGUCUUUUUAAUGUGAAAUAACAGUAUAACCAGAGAAAUUUAUUUGAGCAAUAGCUUUUCAUUUCAGCCAGAAUUAGAGCUCUU